rnacentral:rRNA from 1 species
GACGAACGCUGGCGGCGUGCUUAACACAUGCAAGUCGAACGGGAUUUAGUAAACAGAAACCUCGGUGGAAGAUUACUAAUGAGAGUGGCGAACGGGUGAGUAACGCGUGAGCAACCUGCCUAUGACAGUGGGAUAGCCUCGGGAAACCGGGAUUAAUACCGCAUAAAAUCGUAGAAACACAUGAUUUAACGGUCAAAGAUUUAUCGGUCAUAGAUGGGCUCGCGUCUGAUUAGCUAGUUGGUGAGAUAACAGCCCACCAAGGCGACGAUCAGUAGCCGGUCUGAGAGGAUGAACGGCCACAUUGGAACUGAGACACGGUCCAAACUCCUACGGGAGGCAGCAGUGGGGAAUAUUGCACAAUGGGGGAAACCCUGAUGCAGCGACGCCGCGUGAACGAAGAAGGUAUUCGUAUCGUAAAGUUCUGUCCUAUGGGAAGAUAAUGACAGUACCAUAGAAGAAAGCUCCGGCUAAAUACGUG